rnacentral:rRNA from 1 species
ACGGCUCAGUAACACGUGGACAAUCUGCCCUCGAGACGGGGAUAAUCCCGGGAAACUGGGGAUAAUACCCGAUAGACCGGAGGUGAUGGAAUGCCCUCCUGUCCAAACCCUGCGGGGCCCGAGGAUGGGUCUGCGGCCUAUCAGGUCGUAGGGGGUGUCACGGACCCCCUAGCCGAAGACGGGUACGGGCUUUGGGAGAAGUCGCCCGGAGAUGGAUUCUGAGACACGAAUCCAGGUCCUACGGGACGCAGCAGGCGCGAAACCUCCACACUGUGGGAAACCACGAUGGGGGAACUCCAAGUGCCUACACUUAGUGUAGGCUGUUCUCGAGCCUAAAAAGCUCGAGAAGUAAGGGCCGGGUAAGACGGGUGCCAGCCGCCGCGGUAAUACCCGCGGCCCGAGUGGUGCUCAUUAUUAUUGAGCCUAAAGCGUCCGUAGCUGGCCGGGCAAAUCUCCGGGUAAAUCGGGCGGCUCAACCGUCCGAACGCCGGAGACACUGCUCGGCUUGGGAUCGGGAGAGGGUGAAGGUACUCCCGGGGUAGGGGUAAAAUCCUGUAAUCCGGGGGGGACCACCAGUGGCGAAGGCGUUCACCUAGAACGAGUCCGACAGUGAGGGACGAAGCCCUAGGGCGCAAACGGGAUUAGAUACCCCGGUAGUCUAGGGUGUAAACGCUGCAGACUUGGUGUUGGGGGUCCUGCGUGGGCUCCCAGUGUCGGAGCGAAGGUGUUAAGUCUGCCGCUUGGGGAGUACGGUCGCAAGACUGAAACUUAAAGGAAUUGGCGGGGGAG